GAUGAACGCUGGCUACAGGCUUAACACAUGCAAGUCGAGGGGAAACGCCGGGGAAGCUUGCUUCCCCGGGCGUCGACCGGCGCACGGGUGAGUAACGCGUAUCCAACCUGCCUCUGACUGAGGGAUAACCCGUCGAAAGUCGGCCUAAUACCUCAUGGUAUCGUCUGCGGGCAUCCAACGACGAUUAAAGAUUUCAUCGGUCAGGGAUGGGGAUGCGUCUGAUUAGCUUGUUGGCGGGGUAACGGCCCACCAAGGCUACGAUCAGUAGGGGUUCUGAGAGGAAGGUCCCCCACAUUGGAACUGAGACACGGUCCAAACUCCUACGGGAGGCAGCAGUGAGGAAUAUUGGUCAAUGGGCGAGAGCCUGAACCAGCCAAGUAGCGUGCAGGAAGACGGCCCUAUGGGUUGUAAACUGCUUUUAUGCGGGGAUAAAGUGAGGGACGUGUCCCUCAUUGCAGGUACCGCAUGAAUAAGGGCCGGCUAAUUCCGUG
rnacentral:rRNA from 1 species